UACGAAGGGGGCUAGCGUUGCUCGGAAUCACUGGGCGUAAAGCGCACGUAGGCGGAUUGCUAAGUCAGGGGUGAAAUCCUGGAGCUCAACUCCAGAACUGCCUUUGAUACUGGCGAUCUCGAGUCCGGGAGAGGUGAGUGGAACUGCGAGUGUAGAGGUGAAAUUCGUAGAUAUUCGCAAGAACACCAGUGGCGAAGGCGGCUCGCUGGCCCGGUACUGACGCUGAGGUGCGAAAGCGUGGGGAGCAAACAGG
rnacentral:rRNA from 1 species